rnacentral:rRNA from 1 species
CGCAGCCGCGGUAAUUCCAGCUCCAAUAGCGUAUAUUAAAGUUGUUGCAGUUAAAAAGCUCGUAGUUGAAUUUCGAGACCGGCUUACUGGUCGUGCUUUUGUACGUACUGGUAUAAUCGGUUUCUCCUUUCUGACGAACUAUAAUGCCAUUAAUUUGGUGUUAUAGGGAAUCAGGACUGUUACUUUGAAAAAAUUAGAGUGUUUAAAGCAGGCUCACGCUUGAAUACAUUAGCACGGAAUAACGGAAUAGGACGUUUGAUUCUAUUUUGUUGGUUUCUAGGAUCGACGUAAUGAUUAAUAGGGAUAGUUGGGGGCAUUAGUAUUCAAUUGUCAGAGGUGAAAUUCUUGGAUUUAUUGAAGACUAACUACUGCGAAAGCAUUUGCCAAGGAUGUUUUCAUUAAUCAAGAACGAAAGUUAGGGAUCGAAGACGAUCAGAUACCGUCGUAGUCUUAACCAUAAACU